UUUUCACACAGGGUAGACAGAGCAGAGGGACGUGUUGGAGACAGACAGAACGGGAAGAUCUUUCGGGAAAUAGGGCUAACGUACGCCCUUUCAGAGAUGGGCUUUCUCGCCCAAAGAGGCAAGAGAAUAACUUGAACUGCAUAGUUACAUCCUGGGCUAAAUUGGUGUCAUUGAACCUUUAUAUGCUCAAGUUAUUUGAAGUUUAAAAUGUGGGAGAUGGGGGUGUUGUCGAGAGCGAGGUCUCCCCUCCUGUUGUCCAGGACAAGAUGGCAGCAGUGCAGGCAAACUCUGCAUGGUAUGGGUAUAUAGCUAAGUCCACAACAUGUUCAGAGAAGCCCUGGAUUCUACGUAUUGGUACUCUAUAAGAAGGUAUGGCCUCACAAGUCUGGAUCUACCCACCACACAUUUAUCAAACCCAGACUAGUGCCCUUUGCAGCGUGAAGAAAGUCAAAGUGGAGCCCAGCAGCUGUGUGUACCAUGAGAGAGCCCAACCGCGGACUUCUCUGAACGGCAGAACCCUUGGCAUAGCGCACCCGAUCAGACUCGCUCCCUCCUUUGCGACCCGAGACUUGGCAGUGGGUGAGAGAACGCGUGGCGGCGGGCAGGAGUUCCCUGUACAGACGGUGGCCGUGCGUGGGGUACGGAGAAAGCAGAACGGAACAGGAGGAACAGGCCCGGCGGAGGCCCAGCAGCCCCAGGACACAGGGCCAGUCCCCUGGCAGGUCAAGGGGCAGGAGCAGACGGACAGAGACCAGGGAGGCAGCAGUAGUGGAGCGACAGGAGGAGGGGGAAGGGGGGAGGAAGGUAGAGGAGGAGGUAGGAAGGAAGAGACAGAAGGUGACUGGGAAGAGGGUGAUUGUGGAGGUUUGAACUUGGCCGACAGCGCUCAGCGAUGUGGGCUGAAACGUAAGAGCGAGGAGCUUGAUAACCGCGGGAGCACCAUGCAGAUAGUGGAGGACCUGUCCAUGUUGCCAGCCAUGAUGCAAACGACCAAUGGGGGGAAUCCAGCUGGGUUGCCCACGGCUGUAGGGGGCGGAGGAGGACCCCCAACCAAACAGGGAGCGGCGGGCGGAGCAGGAGGGGGUGACGGGGACUACCAGCUGGUGCAGCACGAGGUCCUGUGCUCCAUGAAGAACACGUACGAGGUGCUGGACUUCCUGGGCCGCGGCACCUUCGGACAGGUGGUAAAGUGCUGGAAGAGGGGUACUGGGGAGGUGGUGGCGGUGAAGAUCCUGAAGAACCACCCGUCAUACGCGCGCCAGGGCCAGAUAGAGGUGGGCAUUCUAGCCCGGCUGAGCGGGGAGAACGCGGAUGAGCACAACCUGGUGCGGGCCUUCGAGUGCUUCCAGCACCGCAGCCACACAUGCCUGGUGUUUGAGAUGCUGGAGCAGAACCUCUAUGACUUCCUCAAGCAGAACAAGUUCAGCCCGCUGCCGCUGAAGGUGAUCCGACCCGUGCUGCAGCAGGUGGCCACGGCCCUGAGGAAGUUGAAGACCAUGGGCCUGAUCCACGCUGACCUAAAGCCGGAGAACAUUAUGCUGGUGGACCCUGUCAGGCAGCCCUACAGGGUGAAGGUGAUAGACUUUGGCUCAGCCAGCCACGUGUCCAAGGCUGUGUGCUCCACAUACCUCCAGUCCCGGUACUACAGGGCUCCAGAGAUCAUCCUGGGCCUGCCCUUCUGUGAAGCUAUCGACAUGUGGUCCCUGGGCUGUGUGAUCGCUGAGCUCUUCCUGGGCUGGCCCCUCUACCCAGGGGCCCUGGAGUACGACCAGAUUCGCUACAUUUCUCAGACGCAGGGUUUGCCUGGGGAGCAUCUGUUGAAUGUGGGGACGAAGACGGCACGGUUCUUCUGCAGGGAGUCUGACUCCCCCUACUCAGCAUGGCGAUUGAAAUCGACUGAUGAGCAUGAGACCGAGACGGGGAUGAAAUCGAAGGAAGCAAGGAAGUACAUCUUCAACUGUUUGGAUGACAUGGCGCACGUCAACUUGGUGAUGAAUCUGGAAGGUAGUGACCUGUUGGCAGAGAAGGUGGACCGAAGAGAGUUUGUAGGCCUGCUGAAGAGGAUGUUGUGGAUCGAUGCGGAGAAGAGGAUCGCCCCCGCUGAGGCGCUCAGCCACUCCUUUAUGUCCAUGCAACACCUGCUCGACUUCCCCCAUAGCAACCAUGUCAAAUCAUGUUUCCACAUCAUGGACGUUACCCGCUCUCGUCCCGGUCCUUACGACACGCUCAACCGGAACAAAGCCCCCUUCAUCAGACCGGUGACCACCACCACAACCACAGUUAACCUGACCGGGCCCUUCAGCAAGAUGGCCACCAUCCACAACCAAGCUUUAGCCCCCUCUGCCCCCUCAGUGAUGCACCCUGGGAUACCGGUCCAAACAGGAAAUGGCCAGUUUGGCUGCAGCGACUCAUUUCAACAGGCACUCAUCCUGUGCCCCCCAACGAUGCAGGGAAUCCCCACUAACACGGCCAAGCCUCAGGGCUUCUCCGUACGCAUGGAGACUGCUGUGCCUCUGGUCACCCAAGCUCCCUCCAUCCAGCCCCUACAGAUCAGACCUGGGCUCAUCACACAGCAGACCUGGUCUAACCGCCCCCAGCAGAUCCUGGUGCCCGCCUGGCAGCAGGUGACUUCAAUGGCGCCCCCACCAGCCACCAUGGCGUCUGACACUGUGGCAGGCCCACAGAGACUGGGAGAAUGGGGGAAGGUGCGUCCCCAUGGCAACCAAUACAGCUCUAUGAUGCCCCACCACCAUCAGCCGUUCUUAACCAACCAGAUGACCAUGUCUGCCCACCAGCCAAUCAGCAUAGGCAUCGCUCACGUGGUGUGGCCACAGCCCUCUGCAAACAAGAGAAACAAGCCCUGCUUUAACAGAGGCAGCAAUUUCACCUACAACACCAACACCCAAAACUCAGCAUGCCAGUCCCCAAAGAUGGCCGACACCACGAGGAAUGUCCCAGAGGAUAGAUUCCCAGAGGCGGGGCGAGCUGCACAGCUGGAACCUGAACCGGAGCAGGUGGAGGAGCCUCGCUGCUGUAAGGCAGGUUCAGACUCUGAAGAGCAGUCUGUCUCUUGUAAGCAGCGGCAGGCCAUGGUGAUGUCUGAUCUGGCCAGCCCCACUGUUACUGUCAUUAGUAUCAGCAGUGAUGAGGAAGAGGAGGAGGAGGAAGAGAGAACACGGAGACACUCACUGGGGGAGUGUAAGGGCAGUGCUGAGUGUGAGGCGUGUCAGAGCACAGUGAGUAUGGAGAGAGUAUGUUCCCUCAGCAGUCCAGACAGCACCCUCAGCACCAGCUCCUCUGCCUCAGCCCAGUCCAGCACCUCACCCUGCAAACGCCCCAACAGUAUGUCAGAUGACGAGCAGGAGAGCGGUUGUGACAUUGUGGACGGCUCGCCUUCUUCCGACUCCUCUGGCCCUAGCAACAACCCCUUCACCGAACAACGCUACAUCGCCGAUGGCAACCAGAACCGUGGGCCCCGUGUAGCGUGUGUCGCCCCGGUAACGGAGCCCAGAAAGCCGGCGGUGCGCACCAUGGUGGUGCCGCCCAUGAGGGUGCAGAAUAACAACCCCCACCCACACAUCAACGAGACGCUAGGCAACACCAUCUUAGAGUCUUUCCAGUUCAAAGGGCGAGGUAUCCCGGGCCGUCAACCGCACCACUCCAUCCCCCUCCUCAACCGGCCACAGAAGAUCACUGCAUUCCAGCACCAGCAACAGCAGCCCAUGGGAUUUGGACAGCUCCAGCAUUACGGCUCCUGCCACCAGGAAUGGAAUGGAAACUAUGCCCACCGGCGCCCGCAGGCUUACAUCCCCCCCACUAUGCAUGGGCACUCCUUUACCCUACCCCACGGCAGCCCCAACCACACUUCAGGCCCCCGCCAUCACCCCCACCCGCACGGCCAGCAUACUCUUCUGUCCUACCCCCCCCCUGGGCCCCUGGUCACAGCAGCCCCUGUGGCCCACAUCCUGGCCUCCCCUGGGGCUUCACGGCCCGUCCUGCAGCCCGCCUACAGCAUCUCUCACCCGGGUGGUAUCGUCCACCAGGUCACUGUGGGCAUCAACCCCCGGCUGCUGCCCUCGCCCACUAUCCACCCCCAGGGCCAGUUCAAGGCCCUCUUCCCCCCGCACCCCUACAUGGCCUCGCCUGCCUACGCCACCUUCCCCCUCAGCCCCACCAAACUCAACCAGUACCCCUACAUCUGACACAGUCCCGGAGCGGCCCACCCUCCAGAUGCACCUCGCACCCCCCGGGGGCCAAGCGAGCAGGAGGGGCCUCCUUCUCAGAAUACACAACAAACAACCACAACAUGGUUUUCAUGUCCAGAGCCAUGGCACAACCACAGAGAAACAAGCUAUUUUUAUCAAUCAUGUAGACUUGGGUGCAAUUGAAAUAUGAGCUAUAAAAAAUGAAAUCACAAAGUUUGGGUGGAGGAUGGUGAAAUGGAGGAUGAGGAGGGGGGCAAGGAAGGAUGGAUGGAAUGAUUGAAUGUAGAUAAGUAACUCACUCUCUGUGUUUUGCACAUUUAAUAUACCUUCACAUUAGCUCUUCUACCAAUACUCCUCUUCUACCAGGUGACUAAUCGGGUGGCGUUGCUAGGUCAGACCUUAUCCCAGCUAUUUUUCUACAUGGCCUUCUGAACGUGUGCAAGACACAUCCACAUUUGUAAAGCCAUCCCAGUCUCUAGCUCGAUAGGCCGACAGGUGCACAUGUUGUCCUCGGUGUGUGUCGUACCGCGUUUGAAGUAUUUGUACCUUUUCUCAGUGUCUUUGGUGUUUUAAAAAUGUGGAGUCACUUAACCGAUUUAAAGUAGGGUUGUUGCUCCUCAAGCUGCAUGUGAUCUUGCAUGAGCAGAUCAAAAUGUAAACAGGAAGUCGAUACGUUAGACGCUCUUGUUGUUGGCGUCACGAGACUCGCUGCAUCGUAUACUUGUCCCCAGCCAUAGUGCCUUAUAUAUUUGAGGUGGUUGAUGUUACUACUUAUAUAUAAAUAUAUUACUGUACUGGACUGCAGCACUUGAAGGUCCUACCAGUCCAUGCAUCCUGUGUGUGGAUAUAUAUCCAUGAAUAUAGUAAUGUAGUGGACUGCAGCACUUGAAGGUCCUACCAGUCCAUGCAUCCUGUGUGUGGAUAUAUAUCCAUGAAUAUAGUAAUGUAGUGGACUGCAGCACUUGAAGGUCCUACCAGUCCAUGCAUCCUGUGUGUGGAUAUAUAUCCAUGAAUAUAGUAAUGUAGUGGACUGCAGCACUUGAAGGUCCUACCAGUCCAUGCAUCCUGUGUGUGGAUAUAUAUCCAUGAAUAUAGUAAUGUAGUGGACUGCAGCACUUGAAGGUCCUACCAGUCCAUGCAUCCUGUGUGUGGAUAUAUAUCCCUGCACAGCCUGCAUGGACGUGAGGUAUCGCGGAUAGCGGUGCUUAUGGUUUGGAUUCGGUGUAUAUUUCAGUGUGUAGUGAGUUACUCUUUUGUUCCUUAAAGAAGGACGACGUGCUUUGCUGUAGCAGAUGCUCGCUGGUCCGUUAUUACAUGCUCCUUUUCUGUCAUCGUCCUCCCCCCUGAAUGAACUAGUGUACAAAGAGCAAGCAUUGAAUAUUUGCUUAAUAUUUCAUAAUCAAUUUCUAUUUAGUGAAACUCUUACUACUAACAGUAUUUGUACUGUUCGAUGAAACUGCAAUACAAUCUCUAAAUAGACGUUGAUUUUUAUUUUUUUGUCUUUGUAUUUAAAAAAAGAAAAGUGUUUUGAGUGUUUUUCUUUUUUCUCUCUGCGUUACCAGUGUGGCGGGCUUUGACUAGCUGAGGACGACAAUGCUAAUUCAUUAACGGCAUGGAUUCUUCUAAGCCUGAGCAGACCAUGCAGUAUUUGACACACAUACACACACACAUAUAUAUAUACAUAUACAUGAGCUAGUCUACUUAGUGCAGACGCUUAAUAAGGUGUGAGUUUGUCGCGUGCAAUUCUCUCAUUUAUGCAUGUGACAAAGUGAACUUUUUCCCUUUACAUUAUACCAUUUGUUUAAGGUUUAUUGGUGUUGACUGCUUAUUUUAUACAUUCCGUCAGGGAGAAUAUAUAUAUAUAUGCUGUGUGCAUUUUUCCAAUUGUUUUUGCUAGUUAUGUGCGUUAAGUUUUUCGUCUUUUCAAAUGAAGUUGCUUGUGCAGCACCAAAGACUGUAAUUCAUUUCCUGAGCAAGGUAGCUAGAUAUAUUCUGUUUUUACACAAUAGACCUCUAUCUAGUAUACUAUAGUCGUAGAGCUGGGGUUACAUCUCAAAAAAAUGGUAUUUAAAAAUAUAUAAAAACAUUUAUAAUUACAUGGCUGAGGUUAUGUUUAGCUUUUUCCAGUGAUUUUAAUAAGCCGGAUCAUUUUUCUUGAAUGUAUCAUAGAUAAGCUGCUAUAUGAUCCACAGCUGUGAAAUUAGGUGAUUUCUCUUUGUUCAAAACUAGCCUUCCUAUUUUUGUAUAGGUCCCUAAUUAUCUGAAAUAGAAGUGGUUUUGAUUUUUGUGGGGUUUUCUGCGUUCAUGUUUGAAGCGUCAUUGUAACUACUGUAUUGCUGAUGGACGUUAGUUGCAUUCGUUCUGGUUUUGGGGGUCUGUGUGUUUUUGCAGUAUUUUAUCCUUAUUAACCGUUUUGGGCUCGUCACUGCAUAUAAAUGGAUGUAUCAAUGUCAUUUCAUUUUUGUAUGUUUUCAUAUUGCCGUUUUGUAAACAUGUAAAGCUAUAGCUUGCAAGAUUGAUUUAACUUUCUUCAUUAUGGUAGUAAUUUGAGUAUACAGUUCUAAUAGCGUCUGCUAUGUAUGGCAGGAGCACUGUGAGGUAGCAGGACACUCAAUGGAAGGCUUACAGUAUGUAACAUGUUCUCCCCAAGUCACACCACUAACAACCUGUCAGUAGUCUGCUAGUAAGGGGUUGUCGUAUUGACUCCUCAUGGUCCCGCGGGGAAUUAAACACAAUAUGUCUCAUUUA